AGCCUGUAGUUGGCUGACUCCAAGGCAGGAAGGCAGGACAGAGAGGCACAGCAGAGGAAAAGCUUCUGAUACCGUGGUGACCAGAAAGCAGAGUGAACGGAGGAGCACGGAAGUACCUGGCAUGUGAUUUACACAGUGAAUGGCCCUGCUUUUGGAGCAAGUUAAUGAUAUAAUAUCCCCAUUUAUAUUCAGAACAGUCAACACUUUUGAGCUCUCAGAAUAAUAAAAGCACCUGCAUUUAAUAUACAUGGAAGAAUGGGAAGGCAAAUAGCAGAUAAGGCACAAUCAGACAUCUCCAAAUUUUAGUGAGAUCUGCUCGACAGUUCUGAUGGAUCAGAAAUAUGCAUAUCUCUACAAGAGUAGCGUGAAGUUAAGAAAAGAACUGUCUUCAGGAGGCACACAGGUGGGUGCUCCGUGGACGUGUGCCAUCUGAACAUGUGAGUAGUGUGGUUACCCGAGCCCUGCUCUGCCUGCCCCUCCUUCCCCACUCUGGAAAUCCAACUGGGAUGUAAGUUCCAGAUAACAUAAGCCAUUUCUGGCUAGAAUUUAUUGAUGAAGACUCAGAUAUUGAAAUCUAAAGUUAAAGCAACCAGCCUUUGGAUGAGCCUGACCAGGGAACCCCAGGGACCUUAGAAGCAGAACAUAAUGGACCUUUUCUAUAAAACAUUGGACUCUUUGUUUCUCACCUUUAGUGGCCUGAUGUCAAAUGGGUCAUCUUGGUCAAGAAAGCAGGGAGGGCCAUGUAUUGCAAGCCUAAUUGCUGGGGAUUUUUCUGUAUCAGGAGUAAUUAUAGGGCAAAGGGAAUGUUGAAAGGUAAUAAAAUUUUAAGACUUUAAGGAUGAUUGACAGAUAAUAAACUACACAUAUUUAAAGUACUCUCUGUCCCGUGUCCCUCUUCCUGUCCCAAGGCAUCAACUGAUCUGCUUCUGUCAUUGUGGAUUAGUUUGUACUUUCUAGAAUUUUCCAUAAAUGGAUCUCUUUUCUGACUUUUUCCAUUCAGCGUAAUUAUUUUGAGACU